rnacentral:tRNA from 1 species
GUCAGGAUGGCCGAGCGGUCUAAGGCGCCAGACUCAAGGACAUAUUCAUUACUUCAAUAAGAGAAGUUGCAGUAUUCUGGUCUUCAAUGAAGGCGUGGGUUCAAAUCCCACUCCUGACA